UUUUUUUUUUUUUUAGCAGGGAUAUGUAGAGCUACUGAACCUCUGAUGACGGGUUUGUGUGUGCUCGCGCGCUGUGUGUGUGUGCGCGCGCUGUGUGUGUGUGUGCUCGCGCGCUGUGUGUGUGUGUGCGUGUGUGUGUGCUCGCGCGCUGUGUGUGUGUGUGUGCUCGCGCGCUGUGUGUGUGUGUGUGUGUGUGUGUGCUCGCGCGCUGUGUGUGUGUGUUUGUGUGUUUGUGUGUGUGUGUGUGUGUGUGUGUGUGUGUGUGUGCGCGCGCGCGCGCACGCGCUUGCGUGUAGGUGUGUGUUUUAUCGAGGGCCAUAAACUACCAUUAAAGUGAAAAUAAAACUUGAGGAAGAGCACAUUUGGAUUCGGACUGCUUUAGUUCAUAUUUGACUCUAUUGUUGUGAUGAACGCGUCUAGAUCUCCAAUGAUCUGAACCAGAUUACUGUGAUUCUUUAACAGAUGAGUCUGUGUCUGCGGUGAGUUUGUUUUCUCAUUAAAUACAACAGUAGUGAUCGAAUAUGUCUCUCUUAUCAUUUAUUCUGGAAGAAUCUCCCUCAGAGCUUGUGUUAUUUGAGUCUGUCUAUAUUUUCACAGGCAUGAUGUCGAUUAUUAUCCUUUUACUGAUGAAUCUCUUCAUAGAAACCUCUGUGUCAUUGACUGUAUUGGUUCCUGGUGAUCCUGUAGUGGCUCAUGUGGGAUCUACAGUGAUUCUUCCCUGCUGGAUCUCUCCUGCUGAGAACGCUGAAGCUCUGGAGAUCCGCUGGUACCGUCACGAUCAGUUCAACAACCCUGUUCUGCUCUACAAUCAUGGGAAGAUCCAGGACGUCCAGGAGGAAUCAUACAGGAACCGAAGCUAACUGAAGCCAUGGUCAGAUCAGUCUGGUGGACUGAAGGAUGGAGACGUCUCUCUACGGCUGGAGAAACUCACACUUCAGGAUGAAGGUUCAUUUCACUGUUAUGUGAGUGGAGACAGAGAAUUUGACAGUAAACAGGUGGCUCUCAGCAUCACAGGUCAGUACAAACUACAGUUCAUUUAGACAUGUGCAGCAUUCUGUGAAGAACCGACUGGCAUUGAAGUUAUUUUAGACAUUUAAUGAUGAUGUUUAAACUUAAUAUUAUUUAUAUAUUUUUCUUUCUCAAACCCAUCAGAAUCAUCAGGUACAUGGAAGGCACAUUUCCUCAGCGUUCUCAUUGUUCUCGUGUGUCUAAUUCUGGGUUUGGUUGGGUUGAUCCUCUACAAAUACAGAGACAAACUAACAGGUACAGUCUACUCACAGAUGUGGUUUCAGCAGGUUUGGUGUUUAAUGCAUCUCAUGACUUAUUAUUUUUGAUCUGCUCUGCAGGAAAGAAACCAGCUAAAGAAAGUAAGUGAACUUCUUUUAACAUCUGAACACAGUCAUGAUUUAAUGGGGUUUACAUGAAAUCUUACAUUCAUAUAUUCUCUCUUUUUAGGUUGUGAGGAGGAAAAAGCAGGUAUCUGAAGACAUUGAUUGUUCUGUGUUAUACGUUUAUAAGAACUGUAAUUAAAUAAACAUUCAAAUGUUGUAUUAGAAGGAAGCAUGAAAAUAACAGGUCUGGUGGAAGGUAGAAUAACAGAAUAAAUAAACCCUAACCCUAACUGUUCGCACACACAUCAACAAAAUACACUGAUUUCCAGAUCAAUGCCAUUUUACUGCUUCGUUGUCUGCUAGAUCUGUAUACAGGUAUCUGUUAUAUCACAACUGUUGUUUCAAAUUGUUUAUUUUUUGUUUUAGUUGUGGAAGAAGCUGAAGAUAUAGAGGAACUGAAGAAAUAUGCAGGUUUGAUUUUAAUAAUAUAUGCACAUAGAUGUUUACAUAAAUGCCAUUUUACUGCUUCGUUGUCUGCUAGAUCUGUAUACAGGUAUCUGUUAUAUGAUCACAACUGUAGUUUCCUUUAAAACAUCAAAUUGUUUAUUUUUUGUUUUAGAUGUGGGAGAAUCUGCAGAUAUAGAGGAACUGAGGAAACAUGCAGGUUUGAUGUCAAUAAUACAUGCACAUAUAUGUUUACAUAAAUGCAGGUGUGUAUAAAUAUAAUCUCACACACAAGUAUAAGUCUAUUAAUUGCCGCUUUAUUUGUUUGAUUCCUCCCAGUUGAUGUCACUAUUGAUCGUCAGCGUGAAAAUCCAAACCUGACAGUUUCUCAAGACGGUAAAUCUGUGAAGCAUGCUCCUGGAUAUAAACACACUGGAGAGGCAUUUCCUUACAAUUUAUGUGUAUUUGGAGCCAAAAGAUUCACAUCCGGUCGUCACUAUUGGGAAGUAGAACUGGCAGUUCCACCUGAUCCUUCCAAAA
rnacentral:lncRNA from 1 species